GACAGAGGGUGCAAACGUUGCUCGGAAUCACUGGGCGUAAAGGGCGUGUAGGCGGGAGAGAAAGUCGGGCGUGAAAUCCCUAGGCUCAACCUAGGAACUGCACUCGAAACUUCUUUUCUUGAGUGCCGGAGAGGAAAGCGGAAUACCUGGUGUAGAGGUGAAAUUCGUAGAUAUCAGGUGGAACACCAGUGGCGAAGGCGGCCAUCUGGACGGAUACUGACGCUGAGACGCGAAAGCGUGGGUAGCAAACAGG
rnacentral:rRNA from 1 species